AGCGAACGUUAGCGGCGGGCUUAACACAUGCAAGUCGAACGCGAAAGGGAUUCGUCCCCAGUAGCGUGGCGUCCGGGUGAGUAACACGUAGGAAACCUUGCCUAGAGUGGGGGAUAACGUCCCGAAAGGGACGCUAAUACCGCAUAAGCCCACGUCGGCCUCGGCCGAUGCGGGAAAAAGAUGGCCUCUGAAUUCAAGCUAUCGCUCAAGGAUGGUCCUGCGGCGCAUCAGCUAGUUGGUGGGUAACGGCCUACCAAGGCGAAGACGCGUAGCUGGUCUGAGAGGAUGAUCAGCCACACUGGCACUGAAACACGGGCCAGACUCCUACGGGAGGCAGCAGUGGGGAAUAUUGGACAAUGGGCGCAAGCCUGAUCCAGCCACGCCGCGUGAGUGAUGAAGGCCUCGGUU
rnacentral:rRNA from 1 species